UUGCCCGGCAGGUGUUGUAUUGGUGCCCUGAUUUUCCUCUUUCUUUUCUCCCCCAGGCACCGGAGCGGUUUGUUAUUCCGGUCCCUCUCGGAGCCCUUCCCUCCGUGUGCCCCGGUCUCAGCCGCGAGGUCUCUGCUGGAGCCCCUCGAUGCGGUGCCCGAUGAGGCGCCGGCUGCCGCUGAUGUUCCCCAUCUGCGGAAGCUCCGCGGGCUCCGCUGCGCCGGACACGGGGCUGCUCGCUCCUGCGGCUCAGGGCACCGGCUGCUCGGGCACCGAUCUCGUUAUGCCCCUCGGCGUGGUGAGGCAGUGGAGUCUUCCUAGAGACGUGGGCAGCGCUCCUGCUGGAGUCAAACAAACCGAAGGCCCUGGACACAAGGUCUGUGCUUGGUGGAAGGCGAGAGCCGUCCCUAAGGGAUAACGGACGCCCCUGGACACUUGAGCAUUCCUGCUGGAGUCAAACAAAUGGAAAGCCUUGGACGCAAGGGCUGUGCUUGGUGGAAAGCGAGUGCCGUCCCUGAGGAAUAAUGGACACCCCCGGACACCCGAGGUGGCUCCAGCAUCCCAGCCCCUCUGACGCGGCUUUGCAGCCCUCCUGGGGCCAGGAGAAGUGAUUUGCGUGGGAUGGGCUGCAGGGACACCAGAAUGACCAGAGGAGCAGCAGGAAUGCUGCGGAAACGGUGGCUUUGCCACGUCUCCCUGGGGUCCCCUCUCCAGGGCAGCGACUGCAGCUUGGCCUGUGGGGCUGGGGGUUCCUAGUAGCUCCCGAUUUCCACCUCGGGGUUUAACUGGGACCAGUGACUGUCCAUUAGAGCUCCGUGUGCCGCGUCUCCCACCCAGGUCCUGCGGGAGAUGGGGACCCA